UGAGGAAUAUUGGUCAAUGGACGCAAGUCUGAACCAGCCAUGCCGCGUGCAGGAAGAAUGCCCUACGGGUUGUAAACUGCUUUUAUAUGGGAAUAAACCCCCGGACGUGUCCGGGGCUGAAGGUACCAUACGAAUAAGGAUCGGCUAACUCCGUGCCAGCAGCCGCGGUAAUACGGAGGAUCCAAGCGUUAUCCGGAUUUAUUGGGUUUAAAGGGUGCGUAGGCGGAAUUUUAAGUCAGUGGUGAAAUCU
rnacentral:rRNA from 1 species